CAUCUGGCAUCCGUCACACAGA
rnacentral:miRNA from 1 species